CAGAAACAGAGGUAAGAAGCUCCACCUCGAACUACGGUAACCUUGAGCAAGACAGAUCAGUACUGUCAGAUGAAACAUCAAGUGAGAGGGCUGGGGCAUCUCCCAACCCAGGUGGUUUUAGGAUAAAAACUCGGGGGGCGGGUGGUCAGACAGAGCUGUAUGUUAUGGAAAGAAAAGCAAUAAAAAUCCUAAUUAAGAUAUGUUUUGAAAAGACUGAUUAAAUAGAGAAAAAUAUUGAGUAUAGUUGAAUACAUAAAGGCAUUUCUUUUAAUGAGUUAAUACAUGCAAAUAAUAAUAAUGGCAGUCAUUUAUUAUGUACCUAUCGUAUGCCAGGUAGUGCUCUAAGUACUUUAUAUGAAGUGACAUAUUGAAUCCUUACAACAACCCUAAUAGGAAGAUAAAUUAUUAUUAUUUCCAUAGUUGAGGAAAAUGGUGUUCUGGUUUUUUGUUUGUUUGUUUGUUUGUUUUGAGGCAGAGUUUUACUCCGUCGCCUAGGCUGGAGUGCAGUGGUGCGAUCUCGGCUUACUGCAAGCUCCACCUCCCAGUUCAAGUGAUUCGCAUGCCUCAGCCUCCUGAGUAGCUGGGACUACAGGCACACACCACCACGCCUGGAUAGUCACCUCUCUUUGUCCCAUGUAUGGCAGUCGAUUUGGUUAUGCCCUUUCCAAUGGCACAGUUGGAGUUUAUGACAAAACAGCCCGAUACUGGAGAAUUAAAUCAAAAAAUCAUGCCAUGAGCAUUCAUGCUUUUGACCUUAAUUCUGAUGGAGUGAAUGA
rnacentral:sRNA from 1 species